rnacentral:rRNA from 1 species
GGCCGACAGGCGUAGUCGAUGGACAACGGGUUGAUAUUCCCGUACCCGAGCAUGUGCGCCCAUGACGAGGCGUUUGAUACUAACCACCCAAAGCCAGUGUGGAAGUCUUCGGAUGGAAGUGCUGGUGGAGCGUGGGACCUGAUUUCGUAGUAGUCAAGCGAUGGGGUGACGCAGGAAGGUAGCUCCGCCAGGCGAUGGUUGUCCUGGUGUAAGCGUGU